rnacentral:rRNA from 1 species
CAGAGGGUGCAAGCGUUAAUCGGAAUUACUGGGCGUAAAGCGUGCGUAGUCGGCCAUUUAAGUCGGGUGUGAAAUCCCCGGGCUCAACCUGGGAAUUGCAUUCGAUACUGGAUGGCUAGAGUUCGGCAGAGGGAAGCGGAAUUUCGGGUGUAGCGGUGAAAUGCGUAGAUAUCCGAAGGAACAUCAGUGGCGAAAGCGGCUUCCUGGGACCAGAACUGACGAUCAGGCACGAAAGCGUGGGGAGCAAACAGGAUUAGAUACCCUGGUAGUCCACGCCAUAAACGAUGACAACUAGACGUUGGGAGGGUAAGCCUCUCAGUGUCGCAGCUAACGCGUUAAGUUGUCCGCCUGGGGAGUACGGCCGCAAGGUUG